rnacentral:rRNA from 1 species
GACGAACGCUGGCGGCGUGCCUAGCACAUGCAAGUCGAGCGGUCCGGCACUCAACUAAGUGCUUACUUAAGGGGAAGGAAGUAUAGUAGAAGAAGAAAGUAAUAAAAGUGGUGCAAAGUAAGGUAAGCACGGAGUUGAGUGCCGGAUAGCGGCGGACGGGUGAGUAACGCGUGGGCAACCUACCCUUAAGACCGGGAUAACACCUCGAAAGGGGUGCUAAUACUGGAUAAGCUCCUUGUAGGGCAUCCUAUGGGGAGGGAAGGUAGCGGAAGCUACCGCUUAAGGAUGGGCCCGCGUCCCAUCAGCUAGUUGGUAGGGUAACGGCCUACCAAGGCGACGACGGGUAGCCGGCCUGAGAGGGUGGUCGGCCACACUGGGACUGAGACACGGCCCAGACUCCUACGGGAGGCAGCAGUGGGGAAUCUUGCGCAAUGGGCGAAAGCCUGACGCAGCGACGCCGCGUGAGCGAAGAAGGCC